AACAGGCUUAUCUCCCCCAAGAGUUCACAUCGACGGGGAGGUUUGGCACCUCGAUGUCGGCUCAUCGCAUCCUGGGGCUGUAGUCGGUCCCAAGGGUUGGGCUGUUCGCCCAUUAAAGCGGUACGCGAGCUGGGUUCAGAACGUCGUGAGACAGUUCGGUCCCUAUCCGUCGUGGGCGUAGGAAAUUUGAGAGGAGCUGUCCUUAGUACGAGAGGACCGGGAUGGACAUACCUCUGGUGUACCAGUUGUCGUGCCAACGGCAUAGCUGGGUAGCUAUGUGUGGACGGGAUAAGUGCUGAAAGCAUCUAAGCAUGAAGCCCCCCUCAAGAUGAGAUUUCCCAACUUCGGUUAUAAGAUCCCUCAAAGAUGAUGAGGUUAAUAGGUUCGAGGUGGAAGCAUGGUGACAUGUGGAGCUGACGAAUACUAAUCGAUCGAAGACUUAAUCAAAA
rnacentral:rRNA from 1 species